rnacentral:tRNA from 1 species
GCAUUAGUAGCUCAGAAAACAGAGCGCCGGUCUUGUAAACCGGAGGCCGGGGGUUAGCUCCCCCCUAUUGC